AUCGACCCAGUAACCACGUAUCUAUAUGCAUAGUUAUUAUACCUUCAAAACCCCACCGAUAAAAACCAGAGCGAGGUUAAUGAAAUCUGGUACAACGUCAAGGAUUUUGGGUAUCACAUCGAUCUGGGAAUCCCAGGGGUCGUAGGUACAUCUUGAAGCCUCUUGUGUCUAGACUAUCUGAGCUCCUUGGACUCAAGAACUGAUGCUUCCUCGGUAAGAGUUACUAAGUUCUAAAGGUCGUCCGUAGCUGGAUUCCUCGUGCGCAAGGUCGUGGCACAAAAAUGUCCAAUGAUCAUCCGACACCCGAAGAGUCAAUCAUGAAUGGUUGUUGCAGUCCUGACUUUGAGUCGAAUACUUUUACCAGGAAUGUGGAUCCUGCAGUGAUGCACAAUCUUUCGACCAUUUUGGCUGUGAGAAAUCUACAAAUCAGAAUGCGAAUGAAAAAGAAGGGAACAUACUGGUGAUUGUAUGUUGCGAGCGAUUUGCAAGGUAAAGUAUGUCACCACGGACUUACUCCGAAGAAUGAGCGAAGGUUUUCAUAAAACAUGUCUAAAAUGCUUCUGCACCAAUCUGGGACCCUCCUCAAGGGGAUGAUUAUUGGGUGACAUAGGUUUUCAUAGAACGCGUCUAAAAUGCUUCUGCACCAAUCUGGGACCCUCCUCAAGGGGAUGAUUAUUGGGUGAUAUGGAAUAAGAAGUGGUUGUAAUGUGUAAAAUAAGCCUUGUUUACUAUAGUCACAGAUUAUUAAGAUCAAUUCCAAGCGAAGAGUUGAUGAUUUUUAGGGCUAUUUGUUACUUUAUUUCUUUUAUUUUGUUUUUACCAGUACGCCUGAUAUAUACAAGUUGA